UGAGUAUUGCCUCCUGUUGUA
rnacentral:miRNA from 1 species